GCCCCGAGGCUUGGGCGCCCCUUUUAGAGGCUCAAGCCCUACAUGAUAAUUGUCCACUGCCCGGGCACCCUAAGUGGGGCGCAUGAGCGUCGUAUGUCGUGGAUCAAGCCCAGAUUCUACUCUAUUUUGACUCUAUUGGAUCAGACCCUAUUUCUACUAUGUUCUGACUCUGUUUCAAGGAUCUAGGCACUCUAGGUUUGGUAUCUUUGGUAGAGAAGAGUGCAGCAACACACUCUUUCACCCUCGGAAAACGGAUUUGGAUGCGGGAG
rnacentral:lncRNA from 1 species